AGAGUUUGAUCAUGGCUCAGGACGAACGCUGGCGGCGUGCUUAAUACAUGCAAGUCGAGCGAGGUUACUGCGACAGAUCCCUUCGGGGUGAAGUUGCUUUAGCCUAGCGGCGGACGGGUGAGUAACGCGUGGGUAACCUACCCUAAAGUUCGGGAUAACAGCGGGAAACCGCUGCUAAUACCGGAUGCCUUUACCGUGUGGCAUCACAGGGUAAAGAAAGGUAACGCUUUAGGAUGGGCCCGCGUCCCAUUAGCUAGUUGGUGAGGUAACAGCUCACCAAGGCGACGAUGGGUAGCCGGCCUGAGAGGGUGGACGGCCGCACUGGGACUGAGACACGGCCCAGACUCCUACGGGAGGCAGCAGUAGGGAAUAUUGCGCAAUGGACGGAAGUCUGACGCAGCGACGCCGCGUGAGCGAUGAAGGCCUUCGGGUUGUAAAGCUCUGUCCUUGGGGAAGAAGGUCUUCGGACUUGACGGUACCCAAGAAGAAAGCCCCGGCUAACUACGUGCCAGCAGCCGCGGUAAUACGUAGGGGGCGAGCGUUGUCCGGAAUUACUGGGCGUAAAGGGUGCGUAGGCGGCCCUUUAAGUCAGAUGUGAAAGCCCGCAGCUUAACUGCGGAAUUGCAUUUGAAACUGGAGGGCUUGAGUGUCGGAGAGGGUAGUGGAAUUCCCAGUGUAGCGGUGAAAUGCGUAGAUAUUGGGAGGAACACCAGUGGCGAAGGCGACUGCCUGGACGAUAACUGACGCUGANGCACGAAAGCUAGGGGAGCAAACAGGAUUAGAUACCCUGGUAGUCCUAGCCGUAAACGAUGGGUACUAGGUGUAGGUGGUUUCGAUACCAUCUGUGCCGUANUUAACGCAUUAAGNUACCCCGCCUGGGGAGUACGUGCGCAAGCAUGAAACUCAAAGGAAUUGACGG
rnacentral:rRNA from 1 species